UAUGUAAAAACUAAAUCCUCUUAUUCAGAUCCCAAUGUACAAAGACGAUGGCGAUGCGGUCCGUUUCUCCAUAUAUGUAUGGAGCAUGGCCGAGGUCUUUGGUCUACGGAGGAUGACAAAAUACUAUCUCAAUUAGUGGUUUUCCAUUUCCCGUUUUCAUUUGUCCAACGAAUCGAUUCCUAAAUGUCGACGGUACCGGGCCCCAGGAUUGGGUCUGCAGCUUUGCGUCAAACAUUUCCAAACAUGUAUCACCUGUUCGGAUUUAAAAGAUAACAAUCACAAUGUUUAA
rnacentral:sRNA from 1 species